rnacentral:ncRNA from 1 species
GUUUCAGGGCGGGGUGAAAUUCCCCACCGGCGGUAAGCGGCGUAUGCCGUAAGCCCGCGACCGGUCGCUUUGCGGCUGCUGACCCGGUGCAAAUCCGGGGCCGACGGUAUAGUCCGGAUGAAAGAAA